AUACGUAGGUGGCAAGCGUUAUACGGAUUUACUGGGCGUAAAGGGCGUGUAGGCGGUAUAACAAGUCAGAUGUGAAAUCUCCCGGCUCAACCGGGAGCGUGCAUCUGAAACUGGUAUACUUGAGCGCUGGAGGGGAAAGCGGAAUUCCUAGUGUAGCGGUAAAAUGCGUAGAUAUUAGGAGGAACACCGGUGGCGAAGGCGGCUUUCUGGACAGUAACUGACGCUGAGGCGCGAAAGCGUGGGGAGCAAACAGGAUUAGAUACCCUGGUAGUCCACGCCAUAAACGAUGAAUACUAGGUGUAGGGGGUAUCGACCCCCUCUGUGCCGAAGUUAACACAUUAAGUAUUCCACCUGGGGAGUACGGCCGCAAGGCUGAAACUCAAAUGAAUUGACGGGG
rnacentral:rRNA from 1 species